GGAGGUGAAAAGCGCACAGCUCAAAUUUGAAAUCUGGCCUUUAGGUCCGAAUGUUAAUUUGUGGAAGGUGCUCUUGAUUGAGUAAUGGAUCGAGUUCUUUGGAAUGGGACAUCACAGAGGGUGAUAAUCCCGUUUCGACCAAUUAUCUGCCUAUGUGAAGCCCUUUCGACGAGUCGAGUUGUUUGGGAAUGCUGCUCAAAAUGGGUGGUAAAUUUCUUCUAAAGCUAAAUAUCGGCCAGAGACCGAUAGCGCACAAGUAGAGUGAUCGAAAGAUGAAAAGCACUUUGAAAAGAGAGUUAAAAAGCACGUGAAAUUGUUGAAAGAGAAGCGCUUGCAACCAGCCUUGCUCGCGGUGUUCAGCCUCCUGAAAAGGUGGUGCCCUUUCUGCGAGCGCACCACCAUCUCAUUUGGCGGUGGGGCAAAAGGUCGUGGAAAGUAGCUCUCUUCGGAGAGUGUUAUAGCCUCUUGCAAAAUGCGGCCAGUCGAGACCGAGGACUUUCCUCUUCAAGUAGGAUGUUGGAGUAAUGGUCGUCAGCGACUCGUCUUGCAACGCGCACCAAGUAGUUGAGAAACUAGACGAGCGUUAGGUCUUCAACCCCUUACGAGUAAAAAAAGUGACAGUAGGUAGGAUCCUUUUAGGCGCACCAUCGACCGAUGUGAUUUCGCGAGGAUUUGUGUGUGCGUGUAGUUUUCCAGACCCGAAAGAAGGUGAACUAUUGCUGUAUAGGGUGAAGCCAGAGGAAUCUCUGGUGGAGGCGCACAGCGGUUCUGACGCGCAAAUCGAUUGUCAAAGCUGCCAAUAGGGGAGAAAGUAUUAUCGCACCUUAUAGUAGGGGGUUCCUGGAGAAGUUUCCCUCAGGAUCGCAGUAGCGAUCACAUUUUCAUGGGGUAGAGCAACGAUUAGAGUCCUUGGGCAUUAAAUGCUUUAACCCAUUCUCGAACUCCGAAUAUGUGAGAAGUCCUUGUUUGCUUAUUGAA
rnacentral:rRNA from 1 species